GAUGAACGCUGGCGGCGUGCCUAAUACAUGCAAGUCGAGCGAACGGACGAGAAGCUUGCUUUUCUGAUGUUAGCGGCGGACGGGUGAGUAACACGUGGAUAACCUACCUAUAAGACUGGGAUAACUUCGGGAAACCGGAGCUAAUACCGGAUAAUAUUUUGAACCGCAUGGUUCAAAAGUGAAAGACGGUCUUGCUGUCACUUAUAGAUGGAUCCGCGCUGCAUUAGCUAGUUGGUAAGGUAACGGCUUACCAAGGCAACGAUGCAUAGCCGACCUGAGAGGGUGAUCGGCAACACUGGAACUGAGACACGGUCCAGACUCCUACGGGAGGCAGCAGUAGGGAAUCUUCCGCAAUGGGCGAAAGCCUGACGGGGCAACGCCGCGUGAGUGAUGAAGGUCUUCGGAUCGUAAAACUCUGUUAUUAGGGAAGAACAUAUGUGUAAGUAACUGUGCACAUCUUGACGGUACCUAAUCAGAAAGCCACGGCUAACUACGUG
rnacentral:rRNA from 1 species